rnacentral:rRNA from 1 species
AUUGAACGCUGGCGGCAGGCUUAACACAUGCAAGUCGAGCGGAGAGAGGUAGCUUGCUACUGAUCUUAGCGGCGGACGGGUGAGUAAUGCUUAGGAAUCUGCCUAUUAGUGGGGGACAACAUUUCGAAAGGAAUGCUAAUACCGCAUACGUCCUACGGGAGAAAGCAGGGGAUCUUCGGACCUUGCGCUAAUAGAUGAGCCUAAGUCGGAUUAGCUAGUUGGUGGGGUAAAGGCCUACCAAGGCGACGAUCUGUAGCGGGUCUGAGAGGAUGAGCCGCCACACUGGGACUGAGACACGGCCCAGACUCCUACGGGAGGCAGCAGUGGGGAAUAUUUGACAAUGGGCGGAAGCCUGAUCCAGCCAUGCCGCGUGUGUGAAGAAGGCCUUAUGGUUGUAAAGCACUUUAAGCGAGGAGGAGGCUACUUUAGUUAAUACCUAGAGAUAGUGGACGUUACUCGCAGAAUAAGCACCGGCUAACUCUGUGCCAGCCGCCGCAGUAAAAC